UACGUAGGGUGCAAGCGUUGUCCGGAAUUAUUGGGCGUAAAGAGCUCGUAGGCGGUUCGUCGCGUCGGCUGUGAAAUCCCGAGGCUCAACCUCGGGUCUGCAGUCGAUACGGGCGGCUGAGUGUCGAGGAGGGAGUGUGAAUUCCUGGUGUAGCGGUGAAAUGCGCAGGAUAAUCAGGAGGAACACCGGUGGCGAAGGCGGGCCACUGGGCUGAUACUGACGUGAG
rnacentral:rRNA from 1 species